GUGAAUGAUGAUAAAUGCACUAAGGUUUGAGCAGUUUUUAUUUAUUGAUGGAAAUGCAGACUAGAAAGUUGUUUCUGAUAC